GACGAACGCUGGCGGCGUGCCUAACACAUGCAAGUCGAGCGGGGUUGUAUGGAGUAGCUUGCUACACUGUACAAUCUAGCGGCGGACGGGUGAGUAACGCGUGAGCAACCAACCUUGUACAGGGGGAUAACACGUGGAAACACGUGCUAAUACCGCAUAAGACUACGGUACUGCAUGGUACAGUAGUAAAAGGAGGGAACUCCGGUACGAGACGGGCUCGCGUCCCAUUAGCUGGUUGGUGGGGUAACGGCCCACCAAGGCGACGAUGGGUAGCCGGCCUGAGAGGGUGUCCGGCCACACUGGGACUGAGACACGGCCCAGACUCCUACGGGAGGCAGCAGUGGGGAAUAUUGCGCAAUGGGGGGAACCCUGACGCAGCGACGCCGCGUGAGCGAAGAAGGCCUUCGGGUCGUAAAGCUCUGUCUUUGGGGAAGAAGAAAGUGACGGUACCCAAGGAGGAAGCCCCGGCUAACUACGUG
rnacentral:rRNA from 1 species